rnacentral:tRNA from 1 species
UAAACUGAUGCCUGUUAGUUUAGGUAAAUAGCUGUUAACUAUUUUUUGUGGGAUCAAGGCCCGCCGGUUU